rnacentral:lncRNA from 1 species
AGACAGUUGAUUAAAUAUCCUUAAAUAUUUGUUUGGUGCAAAGUAAUUGCGAUUUCUGCCAUUAAAAGUAAUUGCAAAAACCACAAGUUAUGUUUGCACCAACCUAAUAGUAAACCUCAUGUAUGGUCUUCCCCAGGGAAUGUUUCUGUUAAUUUCUUUUUCUCCUAAGAAUAGUCCACAUUCUUUUCUUUGUACCUUUAUAAUUUUUGGUUGAAAAUUGGGCAUUUUAAAUACUGCAUUGUGGUAACUCUGAAAAUUAGAUUAUUUCUCCUCCUUAGGGUUUGUUUUUGUGGCUUACAGUCAGUUGUGGUUUCUCAUUUGUUUAAGAACUUUUCUAAAUUAUUUUUUGAGGACUUUAUUGUCUGUUUUAUGUGAUCUCUGAAGUCUCAAUCUUUUUAGCUUGCAGUCAGCUAGUCUUUUGGCAGAGAUUUCCCUAAAUUCUUGGAACAACAAGAACAGCCAAAUAUUAAUAAUAAUAAUACUCUCCUGUUUUUUGCAAAUUGCUCUGUGUUGGGACACUACAAUGCUUAGUUAUGACAUUUACAACUCUGCCUUAGCAUUCACUUCUUAUUUGUGCUCAGCCUAACAGUCAGCUGGACUUGGUACGUCAGUACUUCUCCGGUCUUUUUUGAGCAUGGCUCCUUACUGGGUCAUGUCUUGCUUUCUAGAUUCCCUUUCAUAGGCAGAAGAUUUUUCAAAGCCCUUUUACCCCAAAGUAAUUAUCUCCCCAGUUUUUUUUUUCAUAGAUUUUCAGCACAUACAUUGUCACCAUCUGUAAUCUUUUGCCUCUUUGGGCAGUGGCUUCUUCAUUUACCUUUUAGUGUUUAUGAGGAAUGCCUACACUUAGCUACUUUUUCACCCUAAAAUAGUUCCAAGUUAGCAGAACUAAAGACAAAUGCAUUGUAUCGGUGCCUUAGGGACUUCCCUCUGGAACCCUGUAAUCCAUUUGGGAACACAGGCUGCUAUUUUCAAGAACACAGUCAUCAUGAGGAUGGAGAUGAAUGAGGAAAGCCUAUGUUAAAAUGUGACAAAGUUUUCUUUCCACAUUUAAGCUUCCUUUUUCUUGAUCUAGCAUUUGCUUGGUUUCUGUAAAAUAUCAACUAUCUUACAGAAUUCUAAAAGAGCUAAUUCUAAAAGUUUUUGUUCUUCUUUUGGAUGUUUUUAUGCAGGCUCAGGCCUUUAGAAUUUCCUAUUCUGCUCUUUUCACUGUCAUCUUAUUGAUGACUUCUUAAUAACAAAUCUAGUCUUCUAAUCACUCCAGAAAUCUGAAAAAUAUUUCAUUUAUUGGCCACACUUAUCGUUCAGCCCCCUCUAGCUCUCACAAUAUUGAAAUAUGUGUAUAUAUGAAUUAAAACAAAGGCAUUUCCAUUCCUGCAAAUCAAUGUACUGUAAAUUAAUCUCUAAUUUCCUUUUACACUCAUUUCCUGGACAAUUAAAUCAUUAUCAUUUAUUUCUCUAUGGCAUCUGUUUAUAUCACCCUAAUAAUUCUAGGCUCUGCCUUGAUCAUUUCUUACUCUGUGCCUUUCUGCCUUUUUUCAUUGCUCCUGCUUUCCUUCUUCUUUUUUCAAUUUUCCAUUUCUUUUCCCACAAGUGGUUAUCAAGCUUCUCAUGGAUGUCAAGUAUUACACCAUACUUUAGGGAUUCAGAGAUAAAAUCAGCC